GGGGACGUAGCUCAGCUGGUAGAGCGUCGCGUUCGCAAUGCGAAGGUCGAGGGUUCAAGUCCCUUCGUCUCCACCA
rnacentral:tRNA from 1 species